rnacentral:rRNA from 1 species
GUCUAUGGUCAUGCCCCCCUGAACAAACCCGAUCCCGUCUAAUCUUGGAAGCUAAGCAGGGUCGGGCUUGGUUAGUACUUGGAUGAGAGACCACCUAGGAAGAAUAGGUGCUAUAUGCG